rnacentral:rRNA from 1 species
CCUACGGGAGGCUGCAGUCGAGGAUCUUCGGCAAUGGGCGCAAGCCUGACCGAGCGACGCCGCGUGUGCGAUGAAGGCCUUCGGGUUGUAAAGCACUGUCGAGGGGGAGGCUAAUCCCUGGAGGAAGCACGGGCUAAGUUCGUGCCAGCAGCCGCGGUAAGACGAACCGUGCGAACGUUGUUCGGAAUCACUGGGCAUAAAGGGCGCGUAGGCGGGUCACCAAGUCCGUGGUGAAAGCCCUCAGCUUAACUGGGGAAGUGCUUCGGAUACUGGUGGUCUCGAGUGGGGUAGGGGCAUGCGGAACUUCCGGUGGAGCGGUGAAAUGCGUAGAUAUCGGAAGGAACGCCGGUGGCGAAAGCGGCGUGCUGGACCCCACUGACGCUGAGGCGCGAAAGCCAGGGGAGCAAACGGGAUUAGAUACCCUUGUAGUC